rnacentral:rRNA from 1 species
AAAGCGAGCGGCGGAUGGGUGAGUAACACGUGGGGAACCUGCCCCUAAGUCUGGGAUACCAUUUGGAAACAGGUGCUAAUACCGGAUAAUAAAGCAGAUCGCAUGAUCAGCUUUUGAAAGGCGGCGUAAGCUGUCGCUAAGGGAUGGCCCCGCGGUGCAUUAGCUAGUUGGUAAGGUAACGGCUUACCAAGGCGACGAUGCAUAGCCGAGUUGAGAGACUGAUCGGCCACAUUGGGACUGAGACACGGCCCAAACUCCUACGGGAGGCAGCAGUAGGGAAUCUUCCACAAUGGACGCAAGUCUGAUGGAGCAACGCCGCGUGAGUGAAGAAGGUUUUCGGAUCGUAAAGCUCUGUUGUUGGUGAAGAAGGAUAGAGGUAGUAACUGGCCUUUAUUUGACGGUAAUCAACCAGAAAGUCACGGCUAACUACGUGCCAGCAGCCGCGGUAAUACGUAGGUGGCAAGCGUUGUCCGGAUUUAUUGGGCGUAAAGCGAGCGCAGGCGGAAAAAUAAGUCUAAUGUGAAAGCCCUCGGCUUAACCGAGGAACUGCAUCGGAAACUGUUUUUCUUGAGUGCAGAAGAGGAGAGUGGAACUCCAUGUGUAGCGGUGGAAUGCGUAGAUAUAUGGAAGAACACCAGUGGCGAAGGCGGCUCUCUGGUCUGCAACUGACGCUGAGGCUCGAAAGCAUG